rnacentral:misc_RNA from 1 species
AAAAAAACUUCAUCUUUAGUUCCAAGCUCCAAUUUCACAAAAAUGGGGAACCCUAAGAGACAAUCCAAUGAUAGGAACGAAGAACUGCACGCGGCGGCUCGAUGUGGGGAUCUUAACGCUGUUCAAACACUAUGCAGCACCAAUCCUUUAGCUGUCAACACUAGGGAUAAACACUCUCGUACACCGCUCCAUCUAGCAGCAUGGUCUGGCCAUGCCCAGAUUGUGGAUUAUCUCUGCAAAAACAAAGCUGAUGUUGGGGCUGCUGCUAUGGAUGACAUGGG